CACAGAUGGAAACAUCCUUCAUACGUGUUUGAAGCAGGAGUUCCAGGCAGACUUUGACUUCUCCAGGUGUUUGGAGAAGAAGGUUUCAGCCAACCAGAGUAGAUGAUCUUGUUUUAACAGAAACUGCAUUUCAAACAUCCACCGAAUAAAAACCAACGUUUCCUGCUUCAGGUCAGUUCGUUUAACCUGAUUUAUUAUUUACUAAAUGCCAGAAUAAAGAGAGAAGUUUUUAUUACUUCCUUCAAUGUCAGAAGUUUACAUACACCAAGAUCCCUGAUGAUGUCAUGAUGACGUAAGCUUCUGAUUUCACAACAUUUGAGCUGAUCAGAAAGUAGGCGGGUUUUGGUCUUAAGUGUUGGUAUUAACCCCAGAACAGAAGCUAAAGACCUUGUGAAGAUGCUGCUGAAACUGAUGAGAGUCAUUGUCCACAUUGAAACUGGUCCUGCACCAAUAUGGACUGGAAGGCUAAUGGUCAGAGAGGAUUAUGUACAGAAAUCUGACGUGCUUGUUAAUGCAGAGAGUUAUUCCUGCCCGAAGUGGCCUAAAUAAAGUAAUAUUCCUCUGAAUAUGUUCUGGUCCUGGACUAAAAAAGCUGCCAAAGUCCAAGAAAAACUCUAAAAGACCUUCAGAAAGUCCAUAGAACCAUUGAUCAGGACCUCUGUAGCAGAUUACAGGAAAGUUCUGGAUCACAGGAAGAAGGAAGGUCUGGUUUUAGACCGAGGUGGAACCACCUAGAUGAAGUUCAUGAGUGAUUGACCUACUCAGCAGCAGCAGGUGUUGAUGAACACCAUCCAUCACAGACAGCAGCAGGUCUGGUUCUGGAUCAGAGUUUUCUGGACGAGUUUCCUGGUGUGGAUACUUUGCUCCAGCAGAUUACAGAACCAAAUAUGUUUCACGUGUUUGUGGAAAGUUGAAGACAUUUCAGACAGAAAUGAAAGGUCCAAAGAUCUUCACUUUAGUUUCCUCCUCAUCAGAACAUCUGAGAAACAAACCGCAGAUGUUCCUGGCAGGUACAUCUGAAAUGGACCAAGAGAUCCAGAUCAGUUACUGUGGUGAUGGAGCUCAGAGAUUCUGUUUAUCUUGUCUUUAAGCAUUUUGAGGUCCAAACUAUUAACAGCUCUGAUCAGAAACAGGACCAGAACCCAUAUCUAUGAAAGAGGUUUUCUCUCAUUAUAAAAAAUGCAACAAAAUCUAAAAUAAUUUCAUUAAUUUUCUCAGAUCUUCAGGAUGUUCCAGAUCAUCAGUUCAAACAAUGGUGCAUGAACCAGCUGCAACAUCUGUAACCAUAGUAACCACGGGAAGGCGGGCCGUUGGUCCGUUCAUUAAUCAUCUCCUCUGAUUACUUUAGCAUCUGGAACCAGCAGGGGAUAAACUGAAGCCCUGCCUUGUGCUCCAUUCAGGUGCUGCCUUGUGCUCUUAGAAGUUUCUCCUUCAACCUUCAUACGUCUCCCAGCCAAGUCAUAAUCCCUCUAGCUGGAAAGUUGGGAUUUAAUUCACUAAAAUUAAAACAACUGAUUCAAAUUGAUUACAUUUUUCAGGAAAAUCAUCAUUUCAUGUAUAUAAAGGAAAAACCAAUGAAAUACCGAAAGAGAAAAAUAAAUCAAACUUUUUUUUUUCAGUUUAGUUUUUACCAAACAAAAACUGAACAACCAGUUGCAACAAUAACAAAACAUUAGACAUAAUUUUCAUAUUGUAACAUGUUUAUUUAUGACAGUUUGAUUAGUUUAAGAAGACAAACCAGUUUAUGCCCUAAUAUACCAUUUACAGAACCAGUUCAUGUUCCCAGUGUGAUUCAGUGCAUUAAGAUGCUAAAAACAUUUCUGAACUCUGGAGCUGAUUUAAAUGUAUUUUAAACAUGAAUAAAAAUACAAUAUUAAGA